AUUGAACGCUGGCGGCAUGCUUUACACAUGCAAGUCGAACGGCAGCGCGGGCUCCGGCCUGGCGGCGAGUGGCGAACGGGUGAGUAAUACAUCGGAACGUGCCCAGUAGUGGGGGAUAGCUCGGCGAAAGCCGGAUUAAUACCGCAUACGACCUGAGGGUGAAAGCGGGGGAUCUUCGGACCUCGCGCUAUUGGAGCGGCCGAUGGCAGAUUAGCUAGUUGGUGGGGUAAAGGCCUACCAAGGCGACGAUCUGUAGCUGGUCUGAGAGGACGACCAGCCACACUGGGACUGAGACACGGCCCAGACUCCUACGGGAGGCAGCAGUGGGGAAUUUUGGACAAUGGGCGAAAGCCUGAUCCAGCAAUGCCGCGUGUGUGAUGAAGGCCUUCGGGUUGUAAAGCACUUUUGGCGGGAACGAAAAGGACUGUGCCAAUACCACGGUUCGAUGACGGUACCCGCAGAAUAAGCACCGGCUAACUACGUG
rnacentral:rRNA from 1 species